rnacentral:rRNA from 1 species
AUUGAACGCUGGCGGCAGGCCUAACACAUGCAAGUCGAACGGGUGGCGGACGGGUGAGUAAUUUCUGGGAACCUGCCUGACGGAGGGGGAUGACUACUGGAACCGUUAGCUACAACCGCAUACCAUCAUAUGGGCUCAGCUGGGAUUAGCUAGUUGGUGGGGUAACGGCUCACCAAGGCGACGAUCCCUAGCUGGUCUGAGAGGAUGACCAGCCACACUGGAACUGAGACACGGUCCAGACUCCUACGGGAGGCAGCAGUGGGGAAUAUUGCACAAUGGGCGCAAGCCUGAUGCAGCCAUGCCGCGUGUAUGAAGAAGGCCUUCGGGUUGUAAAGUACUUUUAGCGGGGAGGCGUUACCCGAAGAAAAAGCACCGGCUAACUCCGUGCCAGCAGCCGCGGUAAUAC